UUAUCAUUAAUCCCCAAAAUUAAUAUUUUAAUUAAACUACCUCCUG
rnacentral:tRNA from 18 species